rnacentral:tRNA from 1 species
GCGGAGGUGGCGGAAUUGGCAGACGCACUAGCUUGAGGUGCUAGCGCUCGAAAGGGCGUGGGGGUUCAAGUCCCCCUCUCCGCACCA